CGUUCGUCUCGCGGACUCGUCCUCUUCUGUCCCCAAAACGUUGGAUUGCGCCGCCGUUCCUCACAUCGCCUCCCAGUUCCGACGAAGUGGUAUCUUGUGAUCUAGCUUUAAAGAGAUGGCACUGCGAGGAGUUUGGCAACUUCAGAAGCUUAUAGUGAGCUAUUCUGACUGGGGUGGAAGCAGCAAGGGGAUCAGAGCAGUAAAGCAUACGUCACGGUUUGGUGGUGCAGUUUCUGAAUGAGAGUUGUUUCUCUUAGAUUCUGGUAUUCUCUCAGAUAGACAUUUGAAAAUUGUACUCGACAUCUAAUGUAGACGUAUGUUGCUAACUAUUUGGAUCGGUGCCGGGUGAUGCUAUUUGUGGCUGGUAUCCAUUGUAUAUCCACUAUCAUUUUUGUGAGGUAUAAUGGGUAUGCGGUCUCUACACAAAAUUAGUGUGGGUUGUGCACUGUGAAACAACCAUCGCAACUAAAAAUCUUGUAUGUGUGUAGUGGCUUAUAUGUUGAGCUUUAAUAAGUCUUGGAUUCAUUUUGAGUUAUAUUGUUGGAAAGCUGGAAUUGAAUCAAAUGCUAUUUUUCUGUAAUGGGGAAAAAAUAAUAGUAUUUAUGAUGUGAUAA